CACAUCGGUCAGGUCCGACCUCUUUCGCAUAGACUGCCCGACUAUUAAAAGGGCUAUUUUUAAACCAGACAUUAUCGUCGAAACACUGUAUGGUAUAUCGCUGGACAGGCGUAUACCGGUACAGUACCCGCAACGUUAUUCUUGACAUUCCUAUCGUGCUCUAUCGUGCGUGUAUCCUAUCGUAUCGUGCGUGUAUCCUAUCGCAACAUGUGUGUAUCCUAUCCUAUCGUGCAUCAGGUUUUCCGUUUUCUAUCAUGUUUUGCAUUUAUCAGGUCUAUCGAGUAUCGUGUUUAGCGUGUAUCAGGUUUUCCGUUUAUCGUGAAAAUCGUUUAUCGUGUACAUGUAGCUUCGGAAACUAUCGGGAUCGUAUAUAAAAUCUAAUGAAAAAGUACGAUACUUUCCGAAACCUUUACUCGUUUUGUUAAAGAAGCUAUUUUUAGGAAUCGAGGAAAGACGAUAUAUUUGAAGGAGAAUAUAAAGUUGUCGAAUUUAAGGCAAAAGAAGAGCUAUUUGUCUGUCCAGAGAGAGUGAAAAUUUAUCACAAUUUAAUUCUAAGUAGUCUGGAAAGUAGGCAGUGGUCUAUCGAGCGAACCGAGGACAGUAAAUCUGAAAGCUCCUUCAUCUGAAGUUCAUAAACAUUUGUUGGUCUAGAAACAAUUAUUUGUAAUAAACACUAACAGAAAAAUAGGGAGUUCCGAUUUGAAAGGGAAAAUCAGUAAAUUACAUUGUUUAUCACAUACAUGUAUAUUUUAAUAAUGGUUCUUUUUCUUCUGAUUUUUUUUCACCUGUAUGCUACUUAUAUAACAACUGCUGAACUUGUGCGCGUCCUUAUGAAAGGUGAAGAUAACAAACAGUGAUCAAUCUCAUAACUCCUACAAGCAAUACAAAAUAGAUAGUUGGGCAAACACGGACCCCUGGACACACCAGAGGUGGGAUCAGGUGCCUAGGAGGAGUAAGCAUCCCCUGUCGACCGGUCACAUCCGCCGUGAGCCCCAUAUCCCGAUCAGGUAAACGGAGUUAUCCGCAGUCAAAAUCAGUGUGCCAAGAACGGCUUAACAAUCGGUAUGAAACACGUCAGACAGCAUUUGACCCAAUGCGAGGUUGUAUUGACGAACUAGAUCGUUAUAACGACCAUAGAAUUUGCAAAAUGCUGACUUCAAUCGAGACUGUUGAAAUCCCUGUACCAUCAACUUGUUUGUCAGUAUAUAUGAUUUUGUGUAUCAGCCGUGUUUUGACAGCUAGCAUUCUCAGGGACAUUGUAUGUCACACAUUUAGAAGAUUAAGUUUUAAAAGGGUGCAAGGGUGUUGCAUCCCGAAAUUCUGCUCAACUGGGCACGAUUCUGCUGUCAUUGUUGUUUUUUUUUUUACUUGUACAUGAACACAUGUACCAAUAGUCGUACGUGUAGAUACUGGAAAUUUAUGUUGGUUUUGAUGAUUAUUUGAAUUUUUUACACACUAAGCGUUUAAAAAUUGCGAUUUUAAAACAAGCCGGGUUUUGUUUAUGUUUUUUUAAACAGUUUAUUUAUGUUUUGUUAACAAAAUAUCAAUUCAAAUAAAUAUGUUCCAAUUACUUAUGACUAUCAAUUAUCAUUCAUAGUGUUAAAAUAUCUAACAGGUGUAGUGCGGUUGAUUUUUUUUAAAGCGGUCGUUAUGAAAAUAACUUGAGAUGUUGAAUGAGCCGUGAACUUAGAGCUUGAUGCAAAAUAAUCCCUUCCUUGCUACACACAAAAUAUUACUUGGUUUUAUUUCAUAUUCAAGGUAAUAUACAUUAGCAUAAGAGAGCUACUGAAGCAUGAUAUCACUACAUUAUAUUACAUUUAGUUACUUCCCUGUAUAAUUUAUAUAUCAAACAUUAGGUGACAAUAUAAAUUUUAGAAUCAUUUGAUAUAUAUUAAAAACUAUAAUAUCAUUAAAAAAAUUUAAAUAUAACAAUGUCAUGUAUUUCUUUUGAUGGUUUUUAACAGGUUGACGUAAUAUGUCCAGAAUAUACCUGCUAGCCCAAUUUCUAAAAUUUGACAAUACUAAGUUACUAGGCCUACUGCAGGCUAUCUCCUGCAUAUGCAUUUUAUCUAUAUAUUUAUGUAUUCUGUACAUAGAAGUCAAAAUUCCAAUCGAAACUUACCGAUCCAAGCACAGGUUUUGAAGAAACACGUCUGAAUAUUAAAGAGAACAUGCCGAAAAACCGUAAAGGUGACUCGAGCUCGAUCCUGUGAAGGUGAAGGUCAUGUGGAGAUUCUAAUUUUAAAAAUUUUCCCGUGCAUAUACAUUAAUUCCGGCAUUUAAUAAGAACUUCUGUUUAGUUAUAACACGGACCUAUAUACUAAUAUUAGUAUAUAGGUCCCUGGUUAUAAUAUAUUAUUGUAUGUCCCAUUCGUGUGUAGACGUCACCUUUCAGACCCAAUGUUUUUCUAAGAGAGAUGGAGAAGGAGGGGAAUGGGGAGGGGCAAAAAACAAGGGCUUGUCGGGACUUGUAACGAAGACCACAUAAGAACUUUUUAAGUUUUGGAAAAAAGGAAAAAGUCGCAUGGGGCUAGAUCUGGAGAGUAUGGCGGGUGUGGCAAGACGGUAACAUUCUCCGACUUCAAAAAUUGCUUCAAACGCUAGAUGUAUGUGAUGGAGCAUUAUCAUGAAGUAGACGAACAUAUCUAAAUCCUGACACAGGGCGUCGUUUAUGAUAAUAUUUCUUGAGGUUUUUUACUAUAACAUCUCGAUAAUACCGACCUGCAACACUUUUGCCCUUCGACAAAGGAAUUUGUACGGCUAUACCAUCACAUGAGAAGAAUAUGCAAUAAAGAACCUCCUUUGUAUUUAUGGUUCUUUUGGCAACUACAGCUCUUCUACCGUGUUUAGUUAACCAUAUUUUGUUUCCAAUUUUUCUUACUGGUUCGAAAUAGUGAACCCAUGUUUCGUCACCAGUAACAAUGUUUGCAAUUGUCUUUGAUUGAAUUUGGGAAAUAUUUUGAGCAAUUGCUUAGCGGUUUGUACUCGUGUUCGUUUUGGGUCGUCUGUCAAUAUAUGCGGUAUCCAUCUGGCAGAAAUCUCUCGUACUUUCAAAAUGAAAUGCAAUAGCGAUAUGCCAACAGCUUUGGCAAUAUCAUGAAUCGUUUGGUUUUUUUGUUUGUUUGUUUUUUGUUUUUUUUUUUGUUUUUUUUUUUUGCUGUUUUCAACCGAAUGUAGGAAAAAAAGUCACGGAUAAAAAGUCACAGGAAAAUAAGUCACAAGAAAAAAAGUCACAAUAUACAUUUUGUAUGAAAAUCACAUAGAUGUAGGAAAAAAAGUCACGAUAUAUAUUAUAUGUAUAGGGGAAAAUUCAUAGUAUAUAUUUUGAUAGAAAAGGGUCACAUAUACAAAGGGGGAGAAAGUCACAGUAUAUAUAUUUCGAAAGAAAACUACAUGUAUAUAUAGAAAAAAAGUCAAAUAUUAUAUAAGGAGAAAAGUUUUACUUAAAUUUGAUUCAAAGUUAGAAGAUUCCAUGUUUCAUUUGCAACAGAGUUUAUAUAUUUUAAUGUUAAAACAAACAAAUAACCCCAAUAAAAAGUAAUUAACUUUAAAGUAUCUACAGUUCUUGACAGAGACUGUUGAGAUUAAUUAGUGGCUUCACAAGGCACCUUUCCCCUUUUCUAGACAGUGUAUUUCCUGUAUAAGUAGACAGAAUGGCAUCAAUUUACAAUCUUUGAAGUCAUACAUAGGAUGAAGGAAAAAAUAUUGACCUUUUUCCUUGGUAUAGGCAAAAACAAUCAAAUAUUUUGAACAAAACACACUGUGGCUUUUUUCCUAGGUGUGGUCAUAGGCACUCUUUAUAGAUAUUUUGUGACUUUUUUUCCUAUCCAGAUUGCGACUAUUUUUCCGUUUACCUUUCAACCACACUCAACAAUUUUUCAGUUAUCUGGUGGCGCCCAGUUUUUAUUGGUGGAAGAGAGAACCAAGAUACAAUGCACCUGGGAAGAGACCACCACCUUCCGAAAGUAAACUGGGAAACUUUCUCACUUACCGGUGCGAGCGGGAUUCGAAACCCACGCCGACCAGAGGUGAGCAGCGGUGUGAUUUUGAGCACGAUGCUCUAUAAACCACUCGGCCACGGAGGUCCUCUGCAAACACUUUCAAUUAUUUCCCUGAGUUUUGCAUUGCCUGUUAGUCACAGGUCAGCCAGAUUUUGCUGCAUCUUUGACGGACUCUGCAAGUCAGAAAUUUCUUUCUCCACCAUAAACUUCCACCCCCAAUUCAGUAAAAGUCUGCAUUACCGAAUUUUGUGCGAACUUUUAAAUAAGCUCCAAUUUCUUCAAUAUUCUUAACCCGUUUCCCCAACAGUGGUCAACGACUAGCCCUAUUGAAAUGAUUAAGUUUAUAGCUAUGUGGAGCUCAAGGCUCAUGCUUAUACCGUUGAAAAGGUAUUGAAUACAGCUAUUCAAGAGUAUACGAGAAAUGAAAACUCUUUGAGGUCUCUAUUUAUUAUAACCCUUUCGUAUUUUGUAUCCUUUGAUCAAGAUCAUCCGCAUUUAUCUCGAUUGGUGCAAUUUUGUAUUGGCGGGGUUUGAUAAUCAGUGCCCUCAAGGGGAGUUUACCUGUUUUCAACAGCCAGGUGAGGGUGCACAGUGAGUAGUUUCCAAGUAUUCGAUUUUUGUACACAUUAAACUUAUCUUCAUCUAUGUUUCGAGAGUGUAUGCCAAGUGUGAAACAUGUACGGACAUUCCAUUCAGCAUAUGCAGUUCUAGGUUGUCACCAUACACACAUUCUUCUGUUUGUGACACUUAGUAAAGGCGACUCCUCUGACCAAGAACUUUCCUCCAAGAAGCAAAGUUCCAAAUAAAUAGAGACCACAAAGUUUUCAUUUCUCGUGUGAAACAAAAAUUUUGCCUUGCCAAUUUCCCCCCACACAUUCAGUAUCUGUACCAUAUCCUUAUUUUUAUCUGACAAACUUGAAUCCCCUUCACCCAAGAUGCUUUGCACCAAGUUCACUUAAAUGGAUCUCUUCUCUAUCAAAAAUGAAAAAUGUUAAAACUUUACAAAUGAAAAUUUCAUUUGAACUUGCAGUUCAGGUGAGCUAAAAAGAGAGGAUAAGUGUUUUCAUAUGCCAAUCCGCUAUCUAGCCUUACCUAUAAGCUCCACAUAAAGGUGCAACUCCCAAAGAAAACAAAUGAAUAAAUGCAUGAAUAAAAGCAUUUAUUUUAUUCACAUUCUAAUCAGAUGUCUGUUUUACAUAAAACAUUUAUUCUAUUCACAUUCUAAUCAGAUGUCCAUUUUACAUAAUCCAUUUAUUUUAUUCACAUUCUAAUGAGAUGUCCGUUUUACAUAAUACAUUUGAAACUCUGGUCUGAAGUGUCACAAUGUCCUCUUCAUUUAAAUCUCUCAGGGACAAAAUCUCCGGUUUUGUUUCACCAGGGGCUAUCAUUAUCUCCAUCACACAGAGAAGAUUGAUAAUGGACUGCUGGCAGUUUUGGAUUCCCUGCAAAAGAUAUGCAGUUGGAGAGGAGAUUAAAAUUGGUCAAAAUGCCUUCCACAGAGGCCCUGGUAUGCAGGAUUCCUGAAGUUUUUAACUUAUAUCCUUCUUGUCCCAAAGUUACUUCAUACCAAAUUUCAAAUGAAUUGGAAGGGUGGUUAUCAAGGAGUUGGAAAGGUUCAAUUGUUCAUGCACAACAGAUGCCGCACGAUGGCCAAUGUGAUCUGAGCAGCCUAUAUACAUCUGCUGUAUCUGAUUGUGUGUACUCUAUUGCUGGAGACAUCAAUUGUUAAUGCACAAUGAUGGACGACAACCAACUGCCCAUGGACAAGUUCUUCUUGUAAAUUUACCUGCCUGACUCUAAACUAUGGUUGCCCUGGGUCACAGGCAGUGGUAUUUGUCUACCCCUGCAUGCCUAAAAAGGUCAGAACAUAACUGAACAUGGAAUCACACAACAAGGGGAUGAUUCAAUAGCAUACCCUUGCUGUUCUGGAGAAGGACAAACAGUCAGUGACACACAAAAUAUAACCUGAUUCUCCUCUGUAAUCCAGUCUACGCAAGCUUCCAGCCAGUCCUUAGGAACACCGAUGUGUCUAGACUUCAACCAGGUAUUGGCAACUGUGACUGUAGACAGUGUCAUGACUCUACCAGCAAGAUUCUUUAGAAGAUUAACUCUUUUGUUUUACAAGUGAUUCAGAAACACCCAUCUGUAAUUGCAAAACAAUGAUUUAGGCAAUGAAAACAAAGAUAAUUUUAAAACUCCUUUGGCAGUAUAUUUACCUCUUGAAAUGUGAUGGACCCACCCAUAAAUUCUUAAUUUCUAUUUUAAUUGAUAAAUUGAUGUUGAAUUAAUUUUAUUUCAUUCCCAUUAUAAACAAGAUAUGAUUAUAAUCUACUGAUUAUAAAGUAUCCCAAACGAAGUACUGGCUGUAUAAAAGUGGCUUUUUUUUAGUACUACUAUUUUCCUCCCUUGACAAAAUCCAUGCCAAUUUUAACUUCAUUCAAAAGAUCUAAAUCACGAAGGCUUUGAGGUGAAUUUUUUUUUUUAAUUCACCUUUUCUCCUUCAGUAAAACUGGUGUCACUUGACCUUGAUCCUAGUUUGUAGGUCCCAACAUCCCCUUAUCAUUUUUUAUGAUUCCAUGUCUCUAUCAGUCCUGGUUUUAAAGUUAUACAAGUUUCUAUAGUCAAGGGAGAUGCUACUUUGUAGGUCACUACACCCUUAUCAUUUCUGAAGAUUCCAUGUCUCUAUCAUUCCCAGUUCUAAAGUUAUACCAGACUUAUGUUUAGGGUCAGAGGUCAAGGUCACUGGAGUCACUUGACCUUGAUACCAAUGUGUAGAUCCCAUCAUCCUUUUAUUAUUUAUGAAGAUUCCAUCUCUUUAUCAUACCUAGUUCAUAAGUAAUACCAAGUUUAUGAUCUAAGGUCAGAGGUCAAGGUCACUGGAGUCACUUGACCUUGAUGUUAGUGUGUACAUCUUAUCAUCUCUUUGUCAUUUCUGAAUGUCCCAUGUCUCUAUCAAUUUCAGUUCUAAUAUUAUAUGAGUUUGUAUGUUCAAGGUCAGAGGUCAAGGUCACUGGAGUCACAUGACCUUGAUACGGUUUUGUGGAUCUCAUCAUCCUUUCAUCAUUUCUGAAGAUCCCAUAUCUAUAUCAGACCUGGUCCUUUAAGUAAUACCAAUUUUAUGUUCUAAGGUCAGUGGUCAAGGUCACUUAACCUUGAUACUAGUUUGAAGGUCAUGUCACCCUCUUGCCAUUUAUGAAGACUCUAUGUCGCUAUUUGUCCCAGUUUUAAAGUUAUACCAGUUUGUAUGUUCAAGGUCAAGGAUUGCUACCAAUUUGUAGAUCUCGUCACUCUUUCAUCAAUUCUGAAGACCCCAUGACUCGAUCAGACCGGUUCUUAAGUAAUACCAGUUUUAUAUUCUAAGGUCAAAGUCACUGGAGUCACUUGACCUUGAUACUAGUUUGUAGGUCCUGUCAUCUUGCCAUUUCUGAAGAUUCCAUGUCACCAAUAGUCCUGGUUUUAAAGUUAUACCAGUUUUUAUGUUUCUGGUCAGAUGUCAAGGUCAAGUGACCUUGACCUUGAUACUAAUUUGUAGGCCCUGUCAUUCUCUAUUCAUUUCUAAAGACCCCAGGACUCUAUUUAUCAUAUUUGUCAAAUUAUAUCUGUUGAAAUUUGGAAUGAAUUUUUUCCCAGAGUUCAAUAUUAAACCCCACUCCCAUUUGAUUCCCCCAAAAUGUACCCUAACCCCCUUCAAUCUGAAAACAAAAACAUUUCUGCACAUCUAGAUACAUUGGCCUUCAAUAUCUAUUACUUUCAUCAACUGGUUACGGAGAACAGUGCCGGACAGUUUUAGGCACGAGAAAGAAGCGGAGGAAGUGGAAGAAUAAGAACUGAGCAAACUUAAUUAACAAGAUUUCAAAUAAUUCCAUGAUUAACAAAUGAAGUAAUUGCAAACAUAUAGGCAAAUCAAAAACAUCUGCCAAAAUCUUGAAAAUUCCGCCAACUCUUAGGGGUCAUAUAUUGCCUUUCGAAACUGAGCUCCCUCUUUUAUUUUACUUUGAAGUGAUGUAGUUAUGUUUGAAACUAGGAUUGGAAAGGUUUGAACUUGAUGUUUUUUAUCAUUAUGAUUGUAUACCUGAUUUAAACAAAUGUGCAUUUUUAACGAAGGUUAAUUUGAGACUUGGGGAAGUUGCUACACCCCAUUAUAAGCGUCUCUGACUAAAGUAUACUCAUGAAUAAACCAUGCCCAAUGAUGUCUCAUACCGAUGGUGUGUGAAAAGUGAAACUUAAUUUUUCUUGUGGCUAUUGAAUCAUUGACCAAAUGCAUACUAUUUUCACAUGUGGUAUUGAUUUCACAGUUUACACCAUUUCAAAAUAAAAGAUUUUGUUCUUGA